GAAAGCCUGAUGCAGCAACGCCGCGUGAGUGAAGAAGUAUCUCGGUAUGUAAAGCUCUAUCAGCAGGGAAGAAAAUGACGGUACCUGACUAAGAAGCCCCGGCUAACUACGUGCCAGCAGCCGCGGUAAUACGUAGGGGGCAAGCGUUAUCCGGAUUUACUGGGUGUAAAGGGAGCGCAGACGGCACUGCAAGUCUGAAGUGAAAGCCCGGGGCUCAACCCCGGGACUGCUUUGGAAACUGUAGAGCUAGAGUGCUGGAGAGGCAAGCGGAAUUCCUAGUGUAGCGGUGAAAUGCGUAGAUAUUAGGAAGAACACCAGUGGCGAAGGCGGCUUGCUGGACAGUAACUGACGUUCAGGCUCGAAAGCGUGGGGAGCAAACAGGAUUAGAUACCCUGGUAGUCCACGCCGU
rnacentral:rRNA from 1 species